rnacentral:tRNA from 1 species
GGGCGACUAGCUCAGUGGUAGAGCGUCUCGUUUACACCGAGAAGGCCGUAGGUUCAAUCCCUACGUCGCCCA